GAUGAAGAACGUAGCGAAAUGCGAUAAGUAAUGUGAAUUGCAGAAUUCAGUGAAUCAUCGAAUCUUUGAACGCACCUUGCGCCCUUUGGCCAUUCCGAAGGGCAUGCCUGUUUGAGUAUCAUGAACACCUCAACUCUUUAUGGUUUUCCAUGAUGAGCUUGGACUCUGGGGGUUUUGCUGGCUCACAGUCGGCUCCUCUAAAAUGAAUCAGCUUACCAGUGUUUGGUGGGUAUCAUGGGUGUGAUAACUAUCUAAGCUUGUGGUUUUUCCACCAGGUAACCUUCAGCAGUGGAGGUUCGCUGGAGCUCAUAGAUGUCUCUCCUCAGUGAGGACAGCCCUUUGAAUGUUUGAUCUCAAAUCAGGUAGGACUACCCGCUGAACUUAAGCAUAUCAAUAAGCGGAGGA
rnacentral:misc_RNA from 1 species